rnacentral:lncRNA from 1 species
UUAGUUUAGAAAAUCAAUAUACAAACAAAAGGAAAUAGGUUUGUACGUUGUGGUACGUGAGCGUUAAUAUGCAUGGUUGGUAUGUUAUCAAUUCGAUUGAUUGAUGUUAUAAAUUCGAUUGAUUGAGAUUUGUCACAGAACACCGCAGAAGAGCAUUUGAUACAGAAAAGAUGUUGACAGAAAAGAUGUGGCUUCAGUGGUGUGCCACCAAAAUAUUAAAAAUUUGAAAAAUAUCUACAAAUGUUGAUAGAAAAAAUUAUGAAUUAA